rnacentral:rRNA from 1 species
AAGUAGUACUUUUUAGGAAACUUAUAUAUUUUGGCGGCCUAUAUUCUUUUUAGAGGAACUUGUUAAUUAAUCGAUAAUGCCCGCUCAAUCUCCCUUUUCUUUACAUUUUUAUACCGCCGUCAUUUUAAAAAUAAAACUUUUUUUUAAUUUCUGUUUAAACCUUCUCGUCAGGUCAAGGUGAAGUCUAUAAAAAAGAUUUAAUGAGUUACUUAUAAAAAAAAUUUAUAGAUAUUAUUUAAAAAAAUUUAAUUAAAUAAGGAUCUAAAAGUAAUUUUUAUUCAAAAUAUAAUUAUGAACUAGACCAACAGGUGU